ACUCAAAGGAAUUGACGGGGGCCCGCACAAGCAGCGGAGCAUGUUGCUUAAUUCGAGGCAACGCGAAGAACCUUACCUGGGUUUGACAUGUACGGAAAAGCCGUAGAGAUACGGUGUCCUUUUGGGCCGUACACAGGUGGUGCAUGGUUGUCGUCAGCUCGUGUCGUGAGAUGUUGGGUUAAGUCCCGCAACGAGCGCAACCCUUGUCCUAUGUUGCCAGCGGGUAAUGCCGGGGACUCGUAGGAGACUGCCGGGGACAACUCGGAGGAAGGUGGGGACGACGUCAAAUCAUCAUGCCCCUUAUGUCCAGGGCUGCAAACAUGCUACAAUGGCCAGUACAGAGGGCUGCUAUACCGCGAGGUUGAGCGAAUCCCACAAAGCUGGUCUCAGUUCGGAUUGGAGUCUGCAACUCGACUCCAUGAAGCUGGAGUUGCUAGUAAUCCCGGAUCAGCAACGCCGGGGUGAAUACGUUCCCGGGCCUUGUACACACCGCCCGU
rnacentral:rRNA from 1 species